CGGAGGGUGCAAGCGUUAAUCGGAAUUACUGGGCGUAAAGCGCGCGCAGGCGGUUUGUUAAGUCUGUUGUGAAAUCCCCGAGCUCAACUUGGGAAUUGCAAUGGAUACUGGCAGGCUGGAGUAUGGUAGAGGAAGGUGGAAUUCCCGGUGUAGCAGUGAAAUGCGUAGAGAUCGGGAGGAACACCAGUGGCGAAGGCGGCUAUCUGGACCGGUACUGACGCUGAGGUGCGAAAGCGUGGGGAGCAAACAGG
rnacentral:rRNA from 1 species